AACAGUGAGAGGCCCGCGUACCGCAAAAAAAAAAAAAAAAAAAAAAAAGAAGCAACUUCUCAUCCAUUCAAGUUUUACCCUGAGAUUGCAGCAAUUCAGUCACAUCUUCAGGCUCCACUUCUAAUGCUAGUUCUCUUGCUCUUUCCACCACAUCUGCAGUUACUUCCUCCACUGAAGUCUUGAACUCUACAAAGUCAUCCAUGAAGAUUGGAAUCAACUUCUUCCGAACCACCGUUAAUGUUGAUAUUUUGACCUCUUCCCAUGAAUCAUGAAUGUUCUUAAUUAUCUAGAAUGGGUCUUCUUGAGACUACUGGCACAUAGCCUCGUACUGUGCUGGUACUGCAGGAUGCUGAAGUUGGGAAAACAGCCUAUUAAGAAGUGAGUUUGAACUGGUCAGAUAAAGGAUUAAGAAAAACAAAUUCAAAGAAAAGAUUUUUCUCAAGUUACUAAAGGAAAUUAUCCUCAGAAGUGUCCCAACAGGAAGAAACUGUGGAGAAUGCUUCCCCCCGACCAACUCCCACCCAAUUAUCUUGCACAGAGAUACCUAGUAAAACUGCAUGUUGUAGACACUUGAAUUUGGACAGACAAGCAACCCAGCCACCUUUCAGUGUGGCUGUGUCAGUAUUGGAAUGAAAUGAACAUGACCCCCUCCAGCAGGGAAGGAACACACAGUAAAGCCUUCACCUCAAAGAUCAGAUUCAGCAGACGGUAGAACUUGCUUUGAACCACCUUCUUCUUCUCCACAAUGCUAACAUCAGGAUUUGGUAAAAAGAGGUACUGUCCAUUUCCCCCAAAAAGACUUCGAAUAUUUGUGGUCCAGCAACUUAUAAAAGUAAGAACCCCUCCCUCCAUCUGAUCAUCCAUUCCUUUAUUACCUGGGGUCCUAAAGAUUUACGAAAACUGGCCAUAAAUUUAGGAAGAGCCCUACUCCAUGGAACAAUUUCUUUCCUAGGAGAGAUCCCAAGGCUUCCAACAGUUCUAGAAAUGAAAAUAAGCUCUCUCCAAUAGAUUACAUACAUUUACCUAUUCCCAAUUCCAGGUUACAGUCCAGGUUACUUACCAGGUGUGGCUGAGUUGGAGGACACAGGUGAAAAGAAAGAUGCACACAGAAGGCUUCGUAAGCAACAUAAUCCUCUGGAGUGACAAGGAUAGAAAAUUCUAAAAACUUGGGAGAUUGAGAAGUUAUAAAGAUAAUCUCUGGGACUUCCCUGGUGGCACAGUGGUUAAGAAUCCACCUGCCGAUGCAGGGGACACGGAUUCAAUCCCUGAUCCGGGAAGAUCGCACAUGCCGCGGAGCAACUAAGCCUGUGAGCCACAACUACUGAGCCCACGUGCUGCAUCUACUGAAGCCCACAUGCUCUAGAACCCAUGCUCCACAACAAGAGAAGCCACCACAGUGAGAAGCCUGCGCACCGCGACAAAGAAUCUUAGUUCCACUACCUGGGAUCAGCAGUGAAAGUGCAGAGUCCUAACCACUGGACCACCAGGGAAUUCCCAAAGAUUCUUGAAAAGUCCAAGGAUUUUCACAAAAGUCUCUUAUAAAAACACAUGUAGAACCUAUCAAAAAAGAGAUUAAGAAAGAGGUGGUGGUGACAUGAGGACUGCUCUUUUUAAGAUCAGGUGGUAAUGGAAGGCAUUUCUGAAGAGGAGAUGUAUGAAAUGAGACAUGAAAGACAGGAAAGAGACAUCUCGCAUGGAUCCACGGGGAGCAGUCCAGUGAAUGGAACAGUAGAUGCAAAGGUCCAGAGGUAGGAACAAGUUUGGCAGGUUUAUGGAACAAAAAGAAGACUUGUAAGGCUGAAGCAUAGUAAGCAAAGAUGGGGAGAACAGUUGGAGAUAAAGUCAAAGAGGUAGAAUAAACUAAAUCAGGAAGAACCUUCAAGAUAUUUGGAUUUGAUUCUAAGAGAAAUGGGAAGCCAUAGGAAGGUUUUAAGCAGGGGAGUAUUGUGAUAUGGUUUAUAUUAUUGAAAAAUGUAUUCUAGUUGUUGUGUGAAGAAUGCAUUAGAAGAAUGAUAGAAUAGAAGCAGGGAAAACCAUUUAGGAGACUGCUGUGGAGGUCCAGGUGGAAGAUGAUGGUGGCUUGGCCAAUGAUGUUAGCAGCAGAUGUAAAGAGAAGUAGACAGAUCCAAAGAUUUUUUCCAAUACAUUGGUUCUAUGAUUUUCAGAGGAAAUUAAUUUUUUAUUUCAAAAAGAAAAAUAAUAUAGGCAUGCAAGAAACAUGAACAUUUAACUUUUAGUGCUUAUGAUUUCACAAUGGCUUGUACACUUAACAUUGUUUGUGGAUGGGAAAGGCAUUCUUUAAAACGAGAGCAC